GACGAACGCUGGCGGCGUGCUUAACACAUGCAAGUCGAGCGGAAAGGCCACUUCGGUGGUACUCGAGCGGCGAACGGGUGAGUAACACGUGAGUAAUCUGCCCCUGGCUUUGGGAUAGCCACCGGAAACGGUGAUUAAUACCGGAUACGACCACUUCUCGCAUGGGAUGGUGGGGGAAAGUUUUUUCGGCCAGGGAUGUGCUCGCGGCCUAUCAGCUUGAUGGUGAGGUAAUGGCUCACCAUGGCUUAGACGGGUAGCCGGCCUGAGAGGGUGACCGGUGACACUGGAACAGAGACACGGCCCAGACUCCUACGGGAGGCAGCAGUGGGGAAUAUUGGACAAUGGGCGGAAGCCUGAUCCAGCAACGCCGCGUGAGGGAUGACGGCCUUCGGGUUGUAAACCUCUUUCAGCAGGGACGAAGCGCAAGUGACGGUACCUGCAGAAGAAGCACCGGCCAACUACGUGCCAGCAGCCGCCGUAA
rnacentral:rRNA from 1 species